CGUAUAAAUAUAUAUACAUUUAUAGGGGAAAUCUUGCACCAUGUUUACACCAUUUGAGGCUGGGAUUGCCGGAACGAGAAAUCGAGCAAAACAAGGUUGACAAAAAUUUAAAAAACACAACAACGACAGCAAAAUGACGUCGCACCUAAAGAAGGCCAAACAAACACAAACCAAACACCAAAAAAGCGCUUGAAGGCUUGCGGAGCACCGGAUCGGCGAUGACCACCACACAAACAAAGAAGUCGACGAGGACUAGAGAGAGAUUGAUGUCGAGGACGAAGCACCAUCACAACAAAGUUUGCACCGAAAUUCACAGAUUUCAAGGAUUUUAGAAACGAGCAGGGAGACAAACAUGGGCUUAAUCGGGAUUUUAUUAAAGGAAAAGGAGACGAAUGGUUGGUGACAAUGGUGGGCGGGGAUUUUUUUUUUUUUUGUGUUUUCUUUCAGAUCGAAAGAAAAAAGUGCUGCAACGGCGAUUUUCGGUGGAUGGAAAUUGUGGGUUCAAAAGUUAUAGUAGCGGUGGUGGCAUUCAAAGACUGUGGUGGCAGUGUGGUGGAAUCGGAGAGUCGGCUUUGAGUUUGGCGGAGUAACUGUGCAGUGACGGCAAAUGAUUCUUCGAGUUUGACAUUCUUUUUCUUCUUCUUCCUCAUGAUACGAAUUAAGUUUCACAAAUUGGAAGAAAAUGCUAUGGAAAUUGGAAGAAAGUGCUUUGAGGGAUUUUUGUAUUUUUUUUUUUGUUUGGGCAGGGAUGUGCCGAAAAAAUGUGAGGCGCCGUUUUUCUUCCCUAUUAUUUUCUUGGAUUUGGAAUAGAAAUGAACUUCAUGCUCAAA